rnacentral:lncRNA from 1 species
GUGGGGAGAGGGAGGGCAGUUUUCCUGAGGACUCAGCCUGUCCUCAACCCCGACUUCCUCCGGAGACCGUUGUGAGGGAAGGUGAGGGUCUGUGGAGAACUCUGCCUGGUGCGUGCAGCGGGCUCCCCACCGUGGCCUUCGUUUC